rnacentral:lncRNA from 1 species
AAAGCUCUUCCUGAUGAUGAUCCGCGUAGUUUCAAGCAACAGGCUAAUGUCCAUUGCACCUAUUGCCAAGGGGCUUAUGAUCAGGUUGGGUAUACCGACCUAGAACUCCAGGUUCAUGCUUCAUGGCUUUUCCUCCCUUUCCACCGUUACUAUCUCUACUUCAAUGAGAGAAUUCUUGCAAAGUUGAUCGACGAUCCCACCUUCGCUUUGCCCUAUUGGGCUUGGGAUAACCCUGAUGGCAUGUAUAUGCCGACCAUCUAUGCUAGUUCCCCAUCAUCAAUCUACGACGAGAAGCGCAACGCCAAGCACCUGCCUCCGACUGUGAUCGAUCUCGACUACGAUGGCACCGAACCCACAAUCCCUGAUGANNNNNNNNNNNNNNNNNNNNNNNNNNNNNNNNNNNNNNNNNNNNNNNNNNNNNNNNNNNNNNNNNNNNNNNNNNNNNNNNNNNNNNNNNNNNNNNNNNNNCAGCAGCAUCGGAGACUUCCCAAAAGCUCUAACUCAGUGAUAAGAGUAGAAGUUCCGAGGCCAAAGAAAUCAAGAAGCAAGAAGGAGAAAGAGGAUGAGGAAGAGGUGUUACUGAUAAAAGGAAUAGAGCUAGAUAGAGAGAAUUUCGUGAAGUUUGAUGUGUACAUCAACGACGAAGAUUAUUCAGUGAGUAGGCCUAAGAAUAGUGAGUUUGCAGGAAGCUUUGUGAACGUACCACACAAGCAUAUGAAAGAAAUGAAGACGAAGACCAAUCUGAGGUUCGCGAUAAAUGAGCUGUUAGAGGACUUGGGAGCCGAAGAUGAUGAGAGUGUGAUCGUGACUAUAGUCCCUCGUGCUGGGGGCGAUGAUGUCACCAUUGGUGGAAUUGAGAUCGAGUUUGUUUCCGAUUGAUCCCAUCUUUCAAUGAUUAUCCAUUAUAUGUAUGUAUCAGGUAAGUCACAUCUUUAUGUGACUAAUGGAAAAUGUGAGACUUCUCUGUACUCUCCCGUCAAGUCUUUUAUUAAUUUAGAGCUGUUUGGUUUAAAUUUAAGGGGUUUUUAAUUGGUGUUAGUUUCCUGUGCCUUUUAUUUACUUUAGAUUGAAGUGGAAAUUGAAGUUAAAUUUACUACUUUUAUAAGAUAAUAUGGGGGGUUAUAAAUAUUUUAUAAAAAAUCAAACAACUUUUUGUACAAUUUAAAAUAUUUUUUUUAUAAGAAAUAAUAUUUAUCUCAUUUUUAUGUUAUUUUUUUAAUUAUAAGUUCUUUAAACAAAAUUAAACAAAUAUAUUAGAUUUAGGAAAUAGUUUUUGAUUUCUUAAAGAGGAUCCAAGAAGUUGCUAAAUAUAUUAUGGGAUAUCCAAGAUCAUGGGCUUUUUUUCAAAUCAAUAAUUGGAAAUAUACGCCAUAUUUGAAUGGUAUUUUUCUUCUUCCUACUUUUCCUAAUUUCUUUUAUGCUAUUUACAUAGCAAAUGCCAAUUUAAAUGCCCUUCUUUUUUUAGAUUUAAUAUCCAAUAACUAUUUGUAAUACAUUUGAUGACUACUUGUUAUAUAAUUAUAUGAUAUAAAAAUAAUGCAAAAUAAUAGCCCUGAGGGGUAGCUCAAUUGGUCUGGUAUUGGGUUUGCUCCCCAAUGAUUACCAGUUUGAGUCCCCUCAAAACCAUUGGAGGUUUACCUAGUCGUUAACUUUAGGGCCCUGUGGGAUUAGUUGAGGUGCGUCUAACCUGGGUCGGACAUCCAAGAUUAUUAAAAUAAAAAAACAUACUUGUUACAACUAUUGGAUUGAGUCCCUACAAAUGAAACAUGAGGUAGUAAAGUUUUAUUUAUGAUAUUUUAUUUGUUACCCCUUUUUAUGUAUUGACAUUAAUUUAAUCAUUUAGCUUAUAUGACUUCCAUUGUACAUGAUUUAGGUGUAUUAAGAAUUAUACAAAAUAUAUAAUUUAUGAGUUCAUUGGAAUAUGAUAAGUUGUUCAUAAUCGGUUUAUAGAUUUGGAUAAUCUAGUAAAGACUGUAAUAUUAUCUCAUAAUUUGAGAAAUGACUUGUCUACCGCUAAGAUGAGAUUCUUAUGGUGAGUGCAUUAGCAUGAUAUUAUUGGACAUUUUUAAAGGAUAUAUUUUGAUUGAAAACAUUCAUAGCAUAAAUAUGAGUACUUGUAGACCCCAUAUGGGGCUCGGUUUUCAUGCAGCCUGUUUUGCCAAGUGUCACAAUUCCAUAAGGCCACAUGUUGAUUUCUAGUUGGUUGUUGGGAAUCAGAGUAGUGGAAUUGGAGGACCAAUGAGAGGUCGACACGUGGCAAGAAGAUUCCAAAGAAUCUGCAGAAGCCGUUAUGGAGGAGCGUCUCUGGCGGCUGGAGAGGAGGUUGCUUUUUGGACGUGUUUGUUGAGAGAUAUUUCAGGGAGAGGAGGAUAGUUUAGCUCGAGAGAGGUGGUGCUUUUUGCGAAGUUGCUUGGAGAUAUUUUGAGGGGAUCUCCUUGGGUGAGGGGGCAGGCUGGUGACUCAGGGACACUAGAGAGAGAAAAACAGGGGAAUCAGAGGAGAAAAGGGUGAGAGUUUGAGGGUGAGUUUCUAGCUUAGAGGAGAGGCUACCGGAGGAGAGAACAGGGAGCAGCAAACUGUGAGAGGUAGUGGUGCUAUUGGCUGCCGUUUAGAGGAACUUGAGAGAGAGCGAGACUUGAGAGAGAAAGAACCAGAGAGUUAGAGUUUUCCAGAGAGAACAGAGAGCUUGAAGGAGAAGAAGGUAAGGGUAUGACUGCCACUAAUCUUUUUGUUUUUUUUCGUUGGUAAAUAGUCUCUUUACCUCUUCUCGAUAUUUUCUACGGAUUGCUUGAUUUGUGUUUAGUUUUUAUGGUUCAUGUUUGGUUGAUAUCUCUUUCAUUUUCUUCGAGAUGAUUCGAGAGUGAUACGACUAUGUUUUUAGUU